CGUAGCAGAUUUUUUGAUAGUCGUAAUUAAAUAUUUUGGAUAGAUUUAAUUUUUGAAUGAAACACUUCCUUCUCGUUCAUUGCAUUAUCUGUUGCACUUCAAAUGCACAUAUUUAUGUUUAUCUGUUGUAGGGUUGCCAUACAACAAGUAUUAUUCGAAAUUGUAGGUAUUUUGGCUGUCAUUCCAGGAAAACUUUGUAUAGUUUUGAUAUACUUUAAGUAUUGAUUUUUGGAAAAUAUAAUAUUUUAGAGACAUGAUAACAAAUGUUAUCAUAGGUUUUUUAAGGCUGUUCUGGAAUGAUAUUUGUUAGGUUUUGUUUACUUCAAGGUCUGAUACAGAAACUGGAGUAAUUUUCAUUUAAUGAAUUAGAGUAUUUUAUUGUUUAUUCGUUUGCCACCCGGCUUUUGUUUUGGGUCCUUUAAAUUCGAGAUCAUUCAGUGCGCCGUUCUUUCUGUGACGAGAUCCUCUUGUAUAGUGAUCGGACGGCCGUAUAAGGGCCUGGAGCCCGGCAUGCCACGUGCUGCCGUGGCGUUCCAUAUUUUGUGUGGUGCGUUCUGUCAGUCUGACUGGCAGAAACAUGCUAAGGGUGGGAGUGCUCCUUGGAGAUCCUCGGUCUGCAGUCUGCAGGUCUCCGGUGAGCUCGCUUACAUUUUUUUGUUUAGUCUAUCACAGUGUGUGAGGGCACUCGACUAAUGUGACCAAUUUAUUUGUUUCAUAGGAGUCGGGAAGAAGUAAAGAAUUAGAAAAUUGCAGAAGUAGAUAAUUAAACAAGAACCUUUACAAUUUCGAUGUGCAAGGAAACUUCUUUGGCUUACUGGCGCAAGGUGUCUUUGGACCUUGUUUUCGUAUGGAAGGGUCAGCCCUGUCCACGUGGCGAGGGGGCGUCAGCACCGGAGUCCGGGGAGCAGCCGGCUCAUCCCUGACAAGGUGUGUCUCCUGCCCGUUUCCUGCCGGUAAUGCUGUGUAAUUCAGGUUUUUAAUUUCUGUGUAAAGUAAUUUCUGAUUUCAUUUAUUUUGAGAAUUCUGGUGCAUAACUUUAGGUAAAUUCAUAUUUAGUUUUUGUAGAAUAAAUGGUUGUAAGAAACCUUUUCCUGGACCCUCUUAAAGCGGCCCAGCUUUACCACUGAGCGUAGUUCAUAUUUUUAUAUGGUGUCGAAUUUAGUAUAACUCACUAAUUUCUGUUUAGGCAAGAAUUAGCUUAUAUUUAAUAAAGUUAUAAAAUGUUA